rnacentral:rRNA from 1 species
AGCGAACGCUGGCGGCAGGCUUAACACAUGCAAGUCGAGCGGGCAUCUUCGGGUGUCAGCGGCGGACGGGUGAGUAACGCGUGGGAACGUGCCUUCUGGUUCGGAAUAACUCAGGGAAACUUGAGCUAAUACCGGAUACGCCCUUUUGGGGAAAGGUUUACUGCCGGAAGAUCGGCCCGCGUCUGAUUAGCUAGUUGGGGGGGUAACGGCCUACCAAGGCGACGAUCAGUAGCUGGUCUGAGAGGAUGAUCAGCCACACUGGGACUGAGACACGGCCAAGACUCCUACGGGGGGCAGCAGUGUGGAAUAUUGGACAAUGGGGGCAACCCUGAUCCAGCCAUGCCGCGUGAGUGAUGAAGGCCUUAGGGUUGUAAAGCUCUUUUAUCCGGGACGAUAAUGACGGUACCGGAGGAAUAAGCCCCGGCUAACUUCGUGCCAGCAGCCGCGGUAA